rnacentral:rRNA from 1 species
AGUGAACGCUGGCGGUAGGCCUAACACAUGCAAGUCGAACGGCAGCACAGUAAGAGCUUGCUCUUACGGGUGGCGAGUGGCGGACGGGUGAGGAAUACAUCGGAAUCUACUUUUUCGUGGGGGAUAACGUAGGGAAACUUACGCUAAUACCGCAUACGACCUACGGGUGAAAGCAGGGGAUCUUCGGACCUUGCGCGAUUGAAUGAGCCGAUGUCGGAUUAGCUAGUUGGCGGGGUAAGGGCCCACCAAGGCGACGAUCCGUAGCUGGUCUGAGAGGAUGAUCAGCCACAUUGGAACUGAGACACGGUCCAGACUCCUACGGGAGGCAGCAGUGGGGAAUAUUGGACAAAGGGCGCAAGCCUGAUCCAGCCAUACCGCGUGGGUGAAGAAGGCCUUCGGGUUGUAAAGCCCUUUUGUUGGGAAAGAAAAGCAGCAGGUUAAUACCCCGCUGUUCUGACGGUACCCAAAGAAUAAGCACCGGCUAACUUCGUG